UGGCGAACGAACAGGGAAGAGCUCAGAUUGUAUAUCGGGGCCUCUGGCUUCGAAUUGUAGUCUCGAAAUGCAACGCCAACGGAGGCGCAGAUUUAAGCCCCUUGAAAGAGAGCGCCGACGAGGGUGAGAGUCCCGUUUGUCAAUCUGCAGCCCUCCGUACACGGCUUGCACUUGCAGAGUCACGUUCCUCGGGAUUGGAGCGCAAAGUGGGUGGUAAAUUUCAUCUAAAGCUAAAUACGUGUUUGAGACCGAUAGCACACAAGUACCAUGAGGGAAAGAUGAAAAGGACUUUGAAAAGAGAGUUAAAAGUGCCUGAAAUUGCUGCAAGGGAAGCGGAUGGAACCAGUCCACACGGUGAGAUUGUUGGGUGGAGGCGAAGGGAGUUGCACUUUCAACGCAAGUGUGAGUGUGAGUUCUGGUCGUCUCUCGCCCGGUGGUUCUUGCCGUGGGGGUCAUUGGUGAUUGGUGGCCGAGGAUACCUGCAAAGGCAUGGUAGCCCGUCUCCGGGUGGGUGAACGCGUUUGUUAUGUACUCGGCCGCUGAUCAUGUGAGUGGUGUCCGGUAACCGGCGAACGACUUCGGUGGCCCAGCCGCUUGGGUUGAUCGUGGGUCCUGACACACGUCUACGACCAUAUGGUUCUUUCCGACCCGUCUUGAAACACGGACCAAGGAGUCUAGCAUAUGUGCGAGUGCUUGGGCUGCAAACCCAUGCGCGCAACGAAAGUGACUGCUGAGAUCUUUGCACCAGCAACCGACUGAUCAAUUGCGAGACGUUUGAGUGUGAGCAUAUCUGUUAGGACCCGAAAGAUGGUGAACUAUGCCUGUGAAGGGUGAACCCAGGGGAAACUCUGGUGGAGGCUCGUAGCGAUACUGACGUGCAAAUCGUUCGUCAUACAUGGGUAUAGGGGCGAAAGACUAAUCGAACCAUCUAGUAGCUGGUUCCCUCCGAAGUUUCCCUCAGGAUAGCUGGAGUUGAACAGUUUUAUCAGGUAAAGCGAAUGAUUAGAGGAAUUGGGGACGCGUUGUCUUCGACCUAUUCUCAAACUUUAAAUGGGUAAGAUCGAUUAGUUACUUAAUUGAACUUUUCGGACAAAUGUCAACUCUAAGUGGGCCGUUUUUGGUAAGCAGGACUGGCGAUGAGGGAUGAACCUAACGUUCGGAUAAAGUGCUUAACUGCUCGCUCAUCAGAUACCAUAAAGGGUGUUGGUUCAUUUUAACAGCAGGACGUG
rnacentral:rRNA from 1 species